GUGCUCGCUUCGGCAGCACAUAUACUAACACUGGAACGAUGCAGAGAAGAUUAGCAUGGCCCCUGUGCAAGGAUGACACGCAAAUUCGUGAAGCGUUCCAUAUCUUU
rnacentral:snRNA from 1 species